rfam:Desulfovibrio piger ATCC 29098 Scfld4 genomic scaffold, whole genome shotgun sequence.
UCGCGAAACGCCCCCGCGUGGGGCGUCGUCCGGCGGCGGCGCGCCGGGCCUGAUGAGCAGCCGAAG